AACGAACGCUGGCGGCAGGCUUAACACAUGCAAGUCGAGCGCAUCCUUCGGGGUGAGCGGCGGACGGGUGAGUAACGCGUGGGAACGUGCCCUCUUCUACGGAAUAGCCUCGGGAAACUGAGAGUAAUGCCGUAUACGCCCGCAAGGGGAAAGAUUUAUCGGAGGAGGAUCGGCCCGCGUUGGAUUAGGUAGUUGGUGGGGUAACGGCCUACCAAGCCGACGAUCCAUAGCUGGUUCGAGAGGAUGAUCAGCCACACUGGGACUGAGACACGGCCCAGACUCCUACGGGAGGCAGCAGUGGGGAAUCUUGGACAAUGGGGGCAACCCUGAUCCAGCCAUGCCGCGUGAUCGAUGAAGGCCUUAGGGUUGUAAAGAUCUUUCAGCUGGGAAGAUAAUGACGGUACCAGCAGAAGAAGCCCCGGCUAACUCCGUG
rnacentral:rRNA from 1 species